rnacentral:lncRNA from 1 species
GUUUCCCUCUCAGGCAGAGGAGGGGUUGGCAGGCCCCAGAUGCCUUUCGUCAAGAAGACAAGGAUGGCUUUGAAGGCUCCUUGGAAGGUUGCCGCUUGCCCACGGACAAUCCCGGGAGCUAGGAGCUCUUUCCUAUUUACCAAGAGCACUGAGUGCCUCCAUUUCCUACUGCCUGUGCACCUCCAACCUAUGGGAGCAUUUGCGAGCCAACUGCAAGCAGCACUCUUCAGGAAGCGGGGCCUAGACAGUGCUGCCAGCAACAAGUCAUUUUCACAUCAUCAUCAUCAUCAUCAUCAUCAUCAUCAUCAUCAUCGUCAUCAAAACACAGCCCUCCUGUAGGGUCCUUCUGGCUGUGACUCUCCACGGCCACUUGGGUGAGGAGAUGGUCCUAAGACCCUAGUGGGGUCUUGGGUGCAGGAUGCUACUCUAUGCUCCAACCACCCCAAUCUGCUUAGGGGUCCCCAUUAUUUUUCCUGCCUCUGGGUGUGGAAGAUGCUGUGCUCUUCGCCUGGGGUGUCUUUCCUAGCUUGUCCACCUGAGCGAAGUCAGCUUCUCCUUCAACUCUCGGCUUAAGUGUUUCCUUCUCUGUGAAGCCUUCCCUGACUGCUGGCAGCCUGGGGUCUCCUGUGUGUCCUCUGGACCUGAUAGGAUUAUCUCCCUUACCCCCCAACCCCAGGAACUUGCACUAUAUUUGAGUUGGAAUUGUGGGUUUGCACACUGAUCACUUAGAUUCUGAGCUCCUGAGAGUCAGGGAGUGUUUGACCCCUGUGGUGUCUCUAGCGUCCAUCAAGAACUCAGAGAAUGAAUGCAUUGUGGGGUUUUUGAAUGAAUGAGUGAGUGAAUAACCGGAUGUCAUCAUUGUCAUCACAACAAUGGCUCCAUUUGUUUAUACACAUUCUCAAUAUUAAGCUACUUCAUUUUCACAGCAUAGUCAUGUGGUUGACACUAUUAGUGCCCAUUUUACAACUGAGAAAACUAAGCCUUCAUGAGUGACUCCCCCAAGGUCAAACAGUUAGUAAGGCUUUCAAACC